UGGGGAAUAUUGGACAAUGGGGGCAACCCUGAUCCAGCCAUGCCGCGUGCGUGAAGAAGGCCUUAGGGUUGUAAAGCGCUUUCGGCGGGGAAGAUGAUGACGGUACCCGCAGAAGAAGCCCCGGCUAACUCCGUGCCAGCAGCCGCGGUAAUACGGAGGGGGCGAGCGUUGUUCGGAAUUACUGGGCGUAAAGAGCGCGUAGGCGGCGAGUCAAGUCAGGCGUGAAAGCCCCGGGCUCAACCUGGGAGGUGCGUUAGAGACUGUUCUGCUGGAGACCGGGAGGGGAUGGCGGAAUUCCCAGUGUAGAGGUGAAAUUCGUAGAUAUUGGGAAGAACACCGGUGGCGAAGGCGGCCAUCUGGACCGGCACUGACGCUGAGGCGCGAAAGCGUGGGGAGCAAACAGGAUUAGAUACCCCGGUAGUCC
rnacentral:rRNA from 1 species